GACGAACGCUGGCGGCGUGCUUAACACAUGCAAGUCGAACGGAAAGGCCCUGCUUUUGUGGGGUGCUCGAGUGGCGAACGGGUGAGUAACACGUGAGUAACCUGCCCUUGACUUUGGGAUAACUUCAGGAAACUGGGGCUAAUACCGGAUAGGAGCUCCUGCUGCAUGGUGGGGGAUGGAAAGUUUCGGCGGUUGGGGAUGGACUCGCGGCUUAUCAGCUUGUUUGUGGGGUAGUGGCUUACCAAGGCUUUGACGGGUAGCCGGCCUGAGAGGGUGACCGGCCACAUUAGGACUGAGAUACGGCCCAGACUCCUACGGGAGGCAGCAGUGGGGAAUAUUGCACAAUGGGCGGAAGCCUGAUGCAGCAGCGCCGCGUGCGGGAUGACGGCCUUCGGGUUGUAAACCGCUUUCGCCUGUGACGAAGCGUGAGUGACGGUAAUGGGUAAAGAAGCACCGGCUAACUACGUG
rnacentral:rRNA from 1 species